AACGAACGCUGGCGGCAGGCUUAACACAUGCAAGUCGAACGCCCCGCAAGGGGAGUGGCAGACGGGUGAGUAACGCGUGGGAAUCUACCCAUCCCUACGGAACAACUCCGGGAAACUGGAGCUAAUACCGUAUACGCCCUACGGGGGAAAGAUUUAUCGGGGAUGGAUGAGCCCGCGUUGGAUUAGCUAGUUGGUGGGGUAAAGGCCUACCAAGGCGACGAUCCAUAGCUGGUCUGAGAGGAUGAUCAGCCACAUUGGGACUGAGACACGGCCCAAACUCCUACGGGAGGCAGCAGUGUGGAAUAUUGGACAAUGGGCGCAAGCCUGAUCCAGCCAUGCCGCGUGAGUGAUGAAGGUCUUAGGAUUGUAAAGCUCUUUCACCGGUGAAGAUAAUGACGGUAACCGGAGAAGAAGCCCCGGCUAACUUCGUGCCAGCCGCCGCCGUAACAC
rnacentral:rRNA from 1 species